CUAUUGUUCUUGCUCUAUUGUUCUUGUCUUUUGCUUUAGUUUAUAACAAGUUGUUCUUUGUCCUUUUCUUUUUUGUAGGAUGCUUCUACAGUCCUGUACCUAAGUGGCCUUAUUGGUCCACUAUGCGUCCAAUAAUGCAGCCUACCAAAUAAAUUUCCAGCUCACUAAUCGCCAAACAAGCAAUGGUGUUUUAGAUUGUACGGAAAAGAACCACUGGCAGCAGCAUCAUUUCUAGUUUUAAACAAUUUUUUUUUUUUGGUUUAAACAUUCUUUCCAUUGAUAUCCC
rnacentral:lncRNA from 1 species